rnacentral:rRNA from 1 species
AUUGAACGCUGGCGGCAGGCCUAACACAUGCAAGUCGAACGAGUGGCGGACGGGUGAGUAAUGUCUGGGAAACUGCCCGAUGGAGGGGGAUAACUACUGGAAACGGUAGCUAAUACCGCAUACUAUCGGAUGUGCCCAGAUGGGAUUAGCUUGUAGGUGAGGUAACGGCUCACCUAGGCGACGAUCCCUAGCUGAUCUGAGAGGAUGACCAGGCACACUGGAACUGAGACACGGGCCAGACACCUAGGGGAUGCAGCAGUUGGGAAUAUUGCACAAUGGGUGCAAGCCUGUUAAAGCCAUGCGGAGUGUAUGAAGAAGGCCUUCGGGUUGUGAAGUACUUUAAGCGGGGAGGCGGUACCCACAGAGGAAGCACCGGCUAACUCCGUGCCAGCAGCCGCGGUAAUAC